AGCCGGGCCCCGGGCGCUGGGGGCGGAGCCGGGCCCUGGGGCACAGGAGGCGGAGCCGGUCCCCGGGGCGCUGGGGCCCUUCGGGUCCGGGUCAACAAAGAACAGCCCGGAUACCCACGCCCACGGCUGGGCCUGCUGGUCUCUCCGUCCUUCUGUCGGACACAGUGUUCACCUCCCCCUGCUGCCCCGGCUGGCCUAUCUCCUGUCGGGUGGAGUUGCUGGGCUGCCACCUGCUAAAGAAGAGGAUGUGUCACCCAUACCUGUCGUUGGAAUUUCUCCCCGGGCAGAGAUUACAUUCUGUGAUGCUCCAAGGACAAAGGACGACCCU